rnacentral:lncRNA from 1 species
CAGUAAUGAAGCAUUUUAGUCAUUACUGAUCAGUUCCUGAGUUGGUUGCUUAAUGAACUGACGGUAUGCCUCUGCAUAAGCCUGACCCUGGAGGCUUCCUCUCAUCCUUCCAGAGGGCCUCUGUCCCUCUGACGGAAAUUCCACCAAGCCGCCUUGAUGAGAUACUUGGUUCUUUUCUCUAUGCAUAUUCUGUUUCUGCUCACCUUCUGGUCUCGGCUGUUUAGUGCAGGUUGUCUAUUAUGGGCAGUAAGUGAGGCUUGAAGCUCACCAUCUUUUUGAGAAUGCACCUGCUGAACACGAACAGCUUCACAAAUAUUGUUACUAGAGUUGUUCGGUAUACUACCGUAUCUGGACAAGAUAUAUCUUCAACUAUAGAGAUAUAUCUACAACUAUAUUCUAUAUACGUUUCGUGUAUACAGAGUUUUAUGGUAAUCUUGAAAAUAUCAUUGAUGAUCAUUGAUUAAAAA